UAGCGAAGGGGGCUAGCGUUGUUUCGGGAUUUACUGGGCGUAAAGCGCACGUAGGCGGAUCGAUCAGUCAGGGGGUGAAAUCCCAGGGCUCAACCCGUGGAACUGCCUUUGAUACUGUCGAUCUGGAGUAUCGGAAGAGGUGAGUGGAAUUCCGAGUGUAGAGGUGAAAUUCGUAGAUAUUCGGAGGAACACCAGUGGCGAAGGCGGCUCACUGGUCCAUUACUGAACGCGUG
rnacentral:rRNA from 1 species